ACCUUAAAGUACAGGAUGUCAGAAGGUCAUCUCCAAGACCACUGGACACUAGUUUCUGAGGACCAUCUACAAUGGAGGAAGUGCAUCACGGAUUAAGAAGCUGAAGAUUCAGUUCUUCUGUUACUUCCCUUGUUACAGGGAAAGCUUUCAAAACACAGACACUUCUGUUCCUUUGGGCACAGGCAAAAGGCAAUUAAAUCGGCCAAGCUAAAUUGAAAACAGGUGAUGGUGAAGGGCACGGCGGGCUUGAAUCAAGGCUGGUGGCUGUGUGGAUGUACACAGAGGUGAUAUCACCAAAGGCUGACUGUCCUCGCCCUGGCUGCUGUCACUGCCCCACAGCCGGAGCUCUACAAUGACUGUGGCAGAGAACUCUCACUGGACUAGGAGUCCAGGGCACACUGGCCUCACCAGGGCUCCAGCUGCGGAUCCCAUCAUCCCCCGCAGGACGUCAGGUGAUGAGGGUGACAGAGCUGGGGCUGAGGUGUCCGCAGAGAACUUGGAUACUCAAGAGGCAGGCGUGAGUGGCUGGUGAGGUUCACCAGGGGAGGUUUGGAGGCCUACAACAACGGGAAUGUUUCGGCAGCCUCAGGGUAGCUGUCACCAGGCCCUGCCCUUGGCUGGUGCCCCUUCUGGAGGAUGCAUGAGUCUGAGAAGUCUGAAGUUCUUAUCUCCUCACUGUCCUCGUCAUGAACACACUGAGGCCGCUGUCCAUCCUCAGAAGGUGGUGUGCUGACAAAGUAUUCGGUGCCCAGGCGGAGCACAGGGUCUGGACGUUCAGCCCUGGUUAUGGCUUGGCCAUGGUGGGCAUGUCUGACGUGGGGACAGCCAGUCCACCAAGCCCAGCACCUCCACACCCGCACGCCAAGCGCUUGAGCGGCUCGUCCAGCUGCUAAUGGUUGCACAACAGCAUAGCCACUGCGCAUGCGGGUUGACGUCAGGCUCUUCACACGCGGCAGCACCUGCAAGUCCCCAUGCACGUCCUAGUGCUGAGAGCAUCCCGCACCCCGGCGUACCGCGACAUCUGCAGGAAGCUCCAAGGCCAGUGCGGAAUGCAGAAACAUUCAUAACCUCUGCUAAGCUAAGUCGCUUCAGUCGUGUCCGACUCUGUGCAACCUCAGAGACGACAGCCCACCAGGCUCCGCCAUCCCUGGGAUUCUCCAGGCAAGAACACUGGAGUGGGUUGCCAUUUCCUUCUCCAAUGCAGGAAAGUGAAAAGUGAAAGUGAAGUCGCUCAUUCGUGUCCGACCUUCACGACUCCAUGGACUGCAGCCUACCAGGCUCCUCUGUACAUGGCAUUUUCUAGGCAAGAGUACUGGAGUGGGUUGCCAUUGCCUUCUCAUAGCCUCUAGGAGGAGUAUAACCUGAUACAACUACUUUGGAAAAGCGUGUGUGUGCUCAGUACUCUCCAUAUCUUUGCGACCCCAAGAAUUGUAGCAUUGGUGCAUAAGUGUACCAUAUUGUAAUUAAAAAGAACUUCUAGCAGUGGCAUUUUUAAUGACACAAAAUUGAGAGAAAAAAUAAAAAAGCCCAUCCACAGUUAAAAUUGAAUUUUAUAUGUACAAACAUGGAAAAUACAAUUUACCUAAGAGUUUUAUUUGAUAUGUUCACAGAAGAGGAUAUAAUCCAGUUUGAAAAACAACAACACAGAGGUAUGUGUGACAAGGUAGAUGGAUUUUGAAAUAGUAAUUAAGAGCAAGAGGCAUAAUAGAAGUGUUGUCUUAUGAUUUCCCAAAAAAGUUAAAGGUAGUAAAAGCUUAGUGUAGACAAAGAACAAAUUAGCCAAGAUGGUGCGGCCAGGCUCUCUCGACCCACGUUUCCCAAAUACAUGGUUGUUAUUGCAACAGCUGAGAUCACUUACAACACAGUGAAUGCAUAUCACAAUGCACCCACUCAGUCAGGGGCCACUUUUGCUCUGUAAAUACAUAUAAGCUCCACCUGAAAAGCCCUUGCUGCUACCUUAUGGCUGUGUCUCAGCUGGGUCAGUGGGCCAACUAGGGCAGGAGAGAGUGAAGCGUGUCUGCUGCUAUGGCUGCUGUCCAGUCAAGUGAGAAUAAACGUGUCUCCAGUUCCUUUUCUUCCAGUUUCCCCACUCUCACCUUGCUUACCCUGUGUUCCGUGAACAGUGAGAUACAGCAGGACACUAAGCUAUAAAUUAUAUUGUUUAGGAAUGUAUACUUUGAUGUUAUAUCUGUUCAGGAAAACAAUAAA
ensembl:lncRNA